rnacentral:rRNA from 1 species
GAACCUGAAACCGUGUACGUACAAGCAGUGGGAGCACGCUUAGGCGUGUGACUGCGUACCUUUUGUAUAAUGGGUCAGCGACUUAUAUUCUGUAGCAAGGUUAACCGAAUAGGGGAGCCGAAGGGAAACCGAGUCUUAACUGGGCGUUAAGUUGCAGGGUAUAGACCCGAAACCCGGUGAUCUAGCCAUGGGCAGGUUGAAGGUUGGGUAACACUAACUGGAGGACCGAACCGACUAAUGUUGAAAAAUUAGCGGAUGACUUGUGGCUGGGGGUGAAAGGCCAAUCAAACCGGGAGAUAGCUGGUUCUCCCCGAAAGCUAUUUAGGUAGCGCCUCGUGAAUUCAUCUCCGGGGGUAGAGCACUGUUUCGGCAAGGGGGUCAUCCCGACUUACCAACCCG